UCAAUGCUCCUACGCGGCGCUAUGCCACCCAAUCCCCCCAGGGCAGGAAUGCAGCAAGGGUAAGUGGCCUCUGGCGGGUGCGUAGGAGUUUUUACUA
rfam:Scardovia wiggsiae F0424 genomic scaffold supercont1.2, whole genome shotgun sequence.